rnacentral:misc_RNA from 1 species
UCCGGCUUAGAACCGGCAGUUCCGUUAAAGUGCCCAGCCAAACCUGAUGGCAACUAACGGUAAGGGUUGCGCUCGUUGCGGGACUUAACCCAACAUCUCACGACACGAGCUGACGACAGCCAUGCAGCACCUGUGUAACGCCAGCCGAACUGAAGGAGUAAUCUCUCACUCCAAACGUUACAUGUCAAAAGCUGGUAAGGUUCUGCGCGUUGCUUCGAAUUAAACCACAUACUCCACCGCUUGUGCGGGUCCCCGUCAAUUCCUUUGAGUUUUAAUCUUGCGACCGUACUCCCCAGGCGGGGUGCUUAUCGCGUUAGCUUCAACACUGAAGAUCAAAUCUCCAACGUAUAGCACCCAUCGUUUACGGCGUGGACUAC